CCCUUCAUGCUGUGAGUUCAAAUAAAGGACAGCACGUUCCCUUGGGAUGGAAUCGAAAUGGGGCCCACAACUUUCUUAAAUAUAUCGUGUCCCUGAACCCCAGGAGUCUCCGUGUUCAGCUGCAUGCCAUUAAUUGCUGCUGUUUCUGAACAAGGAAACGUAUGGUGAUCAAGGUGACUGAUGGACCCUUCUUUGCUCCCAGUUGUACAGCAGCAGUUUUUAGGUCCGUGGUGCAAGGGGCCCUACAACAAUCAGGGGCUCUCUGUGCCCUUCUGCUGGGGGCUCUGCUGAACGGGCCCCCAGGGCCAGAGGCAAAGAGCUGAGUGGGGAACUGAGCCUCAUUUUCAGCAGAUCUGAAGGCUCCAAGAAUGUCUUAAUUCAUCACUGCUGCUGAGAAAAUCCUGAGGGAAGUCAUGGUCUAAGAACACUGCA